rnacentral:lncRNA from 1 species
UGCGAGGAUUAUGCUGCAUUACCCAUUUAUAAACCUUCACAUCUAGUUCUUUUAGUUUAUCCUAGUUAUGCUCCUAAGUCUUUUUAGUACCAAAGGCAACAGCAAACCAGAACCAUUUCUUGUCAUCAACACCAUUAAAAUGAAGUUCGAAAUUUUCAUAGAUCUACUUAACAUAGAAUCUAUGUUCAACACUAGGCAUAACAUUAUUAAAUACCUCUACAAG